rnacentral:rRNA from 1 species
UACGGAGGGUGCAAGCGUUAUCCGGAAUCACUGGGUUUAAAGGGUGCGUAGGCGGUUUGUUAAGUCAGUUGUGAAAUUCCCUCGCUUAACGAGUGGGACUGCGAUUGAUACUGAUGAACUUGAAUCAGGUUGAGGUGAGCGGAAUGUGGCAUGUAGCGGUGAAAUGCAUAGAUAUGCCAUAGAACACCGAUUGCGAAGGCAGCUUGCUGGACCUUGAUUGACGCUGAGGCACGAAAGCGUGGGGAGCAAACAGGAUUAGAUACCCUGGUAGUCCACGCCCUAAACGAUGUUUACUUGCUGUUCGGGCUUAGGCUUGAGUGGCGAAGCGAAAGCGAUAAGUAAACCACCUGGGGAGUACGCCGGCAACGGUGAA